AGUGGAAUAACUGGAUCAAAUGGUAGUUCCAUUCCAAGUUUUCUGAAGGAAUAUCCAUGCUUUUUUCCAGACUGGUUGCAUCAAUUUGCAGUCCCACCAGCAAU
rnacentral:pre_miRNA from 1 species